rnacentral:misc_RNA from 1 species
AUGUCUAAAGGAGUCAUUUGCUUUGACAUAUCGAAAAAUGAACGUUUCCAAUUGUCGGAUAACUAUAAAAUGCUACAUCGCAAACUGAAAGUAAAUUGGAAAGUUGAACAGAGCGAUGGUGAGCUGAAGAAAGAGCGGCUGCAACGUGUGGCCAUCUUUGUGCUGGCCGGACCGCAGGAUCGGUUCACCGAGGAAGAGUUUCAAGUGUUGAAGGAGUUUGUGGAAAAGGGUGGCAAAUUGUGGGUGUUGCUCGGCGAAGGUGGCGAACAGGAAUUCAAUACAAAUGUGAAUUUCUUUCUAGAACAAUAUGGCAUAUACAUAAAUAGCGACACCGUGGUGCGUCCACAUUACUACAAAAAUUUCCAUCCUAAAGAGUGCAUUAUCGGCGGUGGUGUGGUUUGCGAGUCGAUGUGGCGCCAUUUGAUCAAACAAGAUAUCGAAGUGGUCGAUUAUGACUUUAGCGAUGAAAAAUACAAAAUACACUUUCAAUAUCCAUACGGCGCAACGCUAAAUGUCUCAGAACCGGCGAAUGUGCUACUAAGCACAGGACCGGUUGUUUAUCCCUUUAAUCGACCACUAGCUGGUUACUACGUCAACGAGCAUGGCGGCAAGAUACUCGCCAUCGGCUCUGGCUACAUGUGGCACGAUAAGUAUUUGCAGAGCGAUAAGACAAACGACGCGCUAUUGGAAUAUUUUAUACAACUUUUGGGUGGCAAUGAAAUACAAUAUUCGCAUUUGGACUUCAAUGAUGUGGAGAUAAACGACAACAAAACAUUCACCGAUAUCGCCUUCAUUGCUGAUUUGCCGAAAGCUUGUCUGAUCGACUCCAUUGGCGGCACCGAAACACCCGCCGACUUCAAACAAAUGUUCGACAUGACAAUCUACUCCUUAAGUAAUCGUCUGCUGAAAGAUGUAAUGACGACAUACGAACAAUUGAAUGUCAAAUAUGAACCGUUAAAAAUAAUUAAGCCGCAAUUUGAGAUUCCGCUGCCGCCAUUACAGUUAGCGACUUUCCCACCCAUCUUCAGCGAGCCUGCCGCCCCACCACUCGAGCUCUUCGACUUGGACGAGGUGUUCAGCGCCGCGCGCACACAAUUGGCCAAUAUGACCAGCAAAUGUGUGCAAUCCAUUACCGCGAAGGAUGCCAGCAAGCCGCUAAAUACACGUGAAUUGGAGAAUUACAUCAAAGAGUGUGCGCGCAUUACGGGCAUCAUACACGAGCACCAAGAUGUGCAAGCUCGUGAGAUACUCAAUAUACUAGCGCGCCAGAUCGUAAGCUACAGACCGUAUGCGGAUGAGUAGUGGAUGCGACAGCCGAAACCGGAGUGGAGUUGGAAUUAGAAUGCAAAUAUGGUACUAUUAAACGCUUUAAUUGAAAAAUAUGCAAUUGCAGCAACAAUGCACAUAUAAAUAUAAACAGUAUUACUUUACAAUUAAAUUGCAAGGAAGGCGCUAAACAAUAUUUCAUUUUGCUCUCAGCCCAAUUCACAGUUAUAAAGCUGCUAUCGUCGUAAUAAGCGCGCAUGUCCAUAACUAAAACCAUGAAACCGCAAGAUCAGCAAGCGUAUCAAAAGCGAAUAAAAUGCAAUGCAACACAUUUUAAAUACUC